GGACUACAAGGGUUUCUAAUCCGUUUUGCUCCCCACGCUUUCGUGCCUCAAUGUCAGUAGCAGAAUAGUUAACUGCCUUCGCCGUUAUUGAUGUUCUUCCAUAUAUCUACGCAUUUUACCGCUCCACAUGGAGUUCCGUUAACCUCUCCUGCACUCAAGCAAAACAGUAUUACCAGCUUCCACGAGGUUGAGCCUCGAUUUCCCACUAAUAACUUAUCAUGCCAUCUACGCACCCUUUACGCCCAAUGAUUCCGGAUAACGUUCGCCACCUACGUCUUACCGCGGCUGCUGGCAC
rnacentral:rRNA from 1 species